UGCUUUCAUACCUCGCUCGUCUUCUACCGGCUUCCGCCAUUAUUAAAUUCAGUUUUCACUCUGUUUCAUUUUCAUCACAUUUUAAAAAUCCCUGAUCCAUUACUGUUCUCACUGCUUGACGUUUAAUGCACCUCUGUUUCGGCCAUUAUUUGUUGAAUUACAACUUCUAUUGCAUCGUAAUUCCUCAGAGAUUUGGUUCCCGAUUUCCAACAAUCCGGUGACCAGAAGAGUUAAGAGUCAUGUCGGAGAACGGAGACGGGCUGGAUUACCUCCGAAUUCCGUUCGAGAAGAUCAAGUUUGGUAAGAAGCUCGAGGGUCACGGCUAUGGAAGUGUGUUCGAAGGAGAAUUUGGAGAUCGACGAGUAGCGUUGAAGCAGUUGAACAUCACGAACCUCGGUAACAUUAAACCCAAGCUAUUAGGUGAGAUUUUAACGAUUUCUCAAUUCCGGCAACAUCCAAAUCUCGUUGCUCUUCUCGGUUUCUGUGACGAAAGGAGCAAUGAGAUCAUUCUCGUUUACGAGUAUGUCGCAAAUGGAAAUCUAGCUGACAAGAUGAGAAAACGUCUGAAUACGAUCCAGCGCUUCGAGAUCUGUCUCGGUGCUGCUCGUGGACUGGAUUAUUUGCAUACCGGCGUAAACUCCACCACACCUGGAAUCGUUCACGGUCAUGUUAAGCUUUCGAAAAUCCUGUUGAAUUCUGAUUCAAAUUCAUCAAAAUUUGAAGCAAAGGUUUCGAGUUUUGGAUUAUCCAAAAUCGUGCCUGGAAAAGCUCAGAAGGAUCCGGAGGAUGAAGUCAACGAGAAGCCGACGAAGGAAUCUGACGUCUACUCUUUCGGUGUGCUGUUGCUUGAAGUGCUGUGUGGUGUAUCGGAAUUGGUGGAUACCGAUGAUUAUCAGGAACGCCAUGUCUCCGAAUUGGUCCCGAAGAGACUUGAACAAGAUAAAUUACGCAAAAUCGUGCACUUCGAUAUCAGAAGAGAAAUCAAAACGGAGGCGUUGGAAACUUACGCGAAAAUCGCGUGCCAGUGUGUAAUGGAAAACCCUGAAACACGUCCAACCAUGACUCGGGUUGUUGAAGAACUCGAAAAAGCGUUGAGAUUACAGGGAGGAGAGGUCACCUAUGUUCAAAUUCUUGUUAGCGAAAACAUCAACGACGUAGCAGAUGAAACAGUCGUAGAUGAUGGUCAGAAAGAGGAUGGCGAUGAUGAGACGAUGGAUUCAAAAACACUUGACGAAGAACCCCAGGAGGCGGAGACUGUGGCGGUUGUAGAAGAUGCUAAGGAGGUGAUCUCCGAUGUCGCCGGAGAAGAUAAAGCGGAUGAGAUUAGCAAAGUUGACAAUUCUUCAGAAUCUACCAAUGAGAAGAAAUUAGACGACGAUAUUACUGUGCAAGAACGGAGCUUCGAUGCUUCACUUCUAAAUGGCGACAAUGGUGAGAGUUUAGCCGACAAUACUCAUAUCGAAGACGCUGAAAAGGAGAGUAGCAACACUGUAAUUCAGAACACCAAUGAUCGAGAAACCACAGAAGAAAUUACCGACGAUUUAAGCUCCAAAGAGGAAUCAAACAUCACCGAAGACGAUAACAAAAACUUAGUCCAAAUUGGAGACGAUCAAGAGGAGAUUACCAACACUGCGAUUGCGAGCAUCAAUGAGCCAGAAACCGCAGAAGAAAUCACAGACGAUUUAAACUCCAAAGAGAUAUCGAACGUCACCACAGAAAUCGAAGAUGAUAACCAAAGCAAAACUCAAAGUGAAGAUGCUCCAGAAACCACAGAAGAAAUCACAAACGGAUCCAAGUCUGAAGAGGAAUCGAACUCUGGAAAUCCGGAAUCAGACAAUAGGUCAUGGAACGAGGUUGGAGACGGGCUGGAUGACCUUCGAAUUCCAUUCCAGAAGAUCAAAUUUGGAAAGAGAAUCGACAUUGAUGGUUACGGAAGCAUGUUCGAAGGAGAAUAUGACAAUCAACAAGUCGCAUUAAAACAAUUAAACAUCACAAACCUCGGCAACAUUAAACCCAAGCUUCUAUCAGAAAUUCUAAACGUAGCUCGUUUCCAAAACCACCCAAAUCUCGUCGCGCUUAUCGGCUUUUGCGACGAAAAAAACAACGAAAUUACAAUCGUGUACGAAUACAUCUCCGGUGGGAAUCUAGCGGAUAAUUUAAGUAAACAUCUCACUACGAUCCAGCGACUCGAGAUCUGCCUCGGUGCUGCUCGCGGAGUCGACUAUUUGCACAGCGGUCUAAACCCUACGCCUGGUAUAAUCCACGGUGACAUCAAACUUUCGAAAAUUUUGUUGAAAUUGGAUUCAAUUUCAUCAAAAUUCGUAGCUAAAGUUUCAAGUUUUGGGUUGUCGAAACUUCUGCCUGGAAAAUCUCAGAGGAUUCUGGAUCCUGAAGGUAAGACGAAGGAAUCUGACGUGUAUUCAUUCGGUGUUUUAUUGCUUGAAGUUUUAUGCGGGGUGCCGGAGCUAGUGGAUACCGAUGAUUAUCAAGAACGACAUGUUACUGAAUUGGUUCCCAAGAGGCUCGAACAAAAUAUGUUACGCAAGAUUGUGCAUUUUGAUAUUAGGGAUGAAAUAAAACCAGAGGCAUUGGAAACUUAUGCCAAAAUUGCAUGCCACUGCGUAGUAGAAAACCCUGAAGAACGACCAACCAUGGCUCAAGUUGUUGAGGAACUUGAAAAAGCGUUAAUAUUACAGGGUGGGGGAAUAACCGACAUUGAAGUUCCUGGUAGCAGCAAUGGCAAUGGUCUACAUGACGAAAAUGUUGAUGAAGAUGACAAUGGUGAGACGAUGGACUUGAAUACAGAGGUGGAAGAAUCCAAGGUGAUUGAAGAGAGUGUUGAUGACGUCACUAUGGAAGUGGAGAGUUUUCCUGUUGAUGAUGUACCCGACAUAACCCAUGUAGAAGAGGCUAAAAAGGAGAGUAAUGAACUCUUGGUUGAUCCUGAGAGCACAGAAGAAACCAUAACUGAUGUACAAUCGAAUGAGGAAUCAAACAUCAUUUUGGAAAAAGAACUUGAAAAUGAAAGCCAGAUCCCGCUCAUAUCUUUAGAAUCCAACAAUGGUGACAUCGAGAAAGCUGAACAAGAGAAUGAAAACACACUUCCAACAAACACCCAUGAACACGAAACCAAAGAAGAAGAAAUCAUAGAUGAUAAGAUCACACCCAUGGAGAUUACUACGGAAGUACAUAACUCCGUAGAAAAUGGUAAUAGCAAAAUUAAGUUACAUGGCACCAAGAAGGAACCCGAGCCAAUCAUCGCCACAAGAGAAAUAAAUUUCAAUGAUUUUGACACCACCAACUUAAUACCCAUCACAAAACCCCAAGAAUCUGAAACCAAGAGAAGCAGUAGUAGUACUAGUACAAGCUCCGAGUCUAGCAAUGGCGAAGGCACCGCUCCCUCAGAUUCUUUACUGCAAAAAAAUCCCCCCAACGGUAACACCACGAAGAAAACAUCAUAUGGCUCAAGAAACUGUUGUUCCUGCUCAUGGUGGAACCUCAUCUCCAACAGUCUUACUAUGUUACAGAGUUGCUUCGUGCGGAGGUCAAUUUUGGAAUAAAUCAAAAUCAUGUUGUGCGUGUAUCGGAGGGCAAUUUUCUAGCAAACAUGACUAAGAACCUUGUGCUCCCUGUAUCUUCUGUACAUGAUGGAUCAUUGUUGUUUUUACUGUUUUCUUAUAUGUUUUGAAAUUGAGAGAGAAAUAUAACCUAUGAUUGUUUUAUCAGUUGUACACUAUUGAUUGUUGUGUGUACAGUUUAAGUUGUUCUGAACAUGAGAGAGUAAUAUAUCCACGGAUCUUUUAUUAUUUGUA